UUCUGGACUUGCUCUGGAUGUCGGGCUCCCUGCACUUUUGGUGCGGCCAACCGAACAUAGGGCUGUCUCUUCACUCUCCCUCCCAUCAUUGAACAUGUCGUGGUGGGGAUGCUUUGGAUCGGUUGCCUGUGUGGUUCUACCUCUUGUGGGUAGCGAAGUCGUCCCUUAUUGGAUAUUUGCUUGCCUUUAUGACAUUUUUGUGUCGUUUGGGCAGCCGAAAUGUUGGCGAAAUCCUUGUGUUGGUGCGUGGUCGAAUGCUGUGUCGCUAUCACUUGGAUUUUUGCCGGCUCUCACGGAUGCGGUGCCUAGUGCCAGCUCUGCGGGACUUUGCCCCGUAGACUUCGGGAGGUCCCUUGUACGAAUCAUUGCUCUUAUACGCCGUCUUGUCGUGUCGCCACCGCGGCACGCAGAUCGUGUUCCUUUGUGCAGUCGUUGACAGCAUGAUGUCUUUGUGCAGUCGUUGACAGCACAAUGUUGAACAUUAGUGUCCGGAGCAUGGUCUUGUGCAUGUGGAAUGCCUCUCCGAUCGUACGAGCAGCGAUUUCCGGUUUGCGUCACGCGAAGGCCCCGCCCAUCCGGGUCGGUGCUGGAGCUGACGUGCCGGCUCUCGUUUAAGACGUGC
rnacentral:misc_RNA from 1 species